CCAGGAUUCCCCAGUUCAGUAAAAAGCAUUAUAUUCAACCAGGCCUAAAAUUCCUAGGCCAAAAAAUGAAGACUUUAUCAUGAUUCUCAUUUUUCCCUUUACCCCAAAUACCCAACCUUUCAACAAGGCCUAGAAACCCUAGCUCCAAACAUGCAGAAUCCAUGGAUUUUCUUUUCAUCUCCUCAGUGUCACUCUGGUCUAGAUCACCCUACCAUAUCACACUUAGAAACCUCCAACUGUUUCCUAACUGGUUUCCCUUCAUCCAUGCCUGUCCUCCUACAGUAUAAUGCCCCUAACCUGCAAGUCAGGGAGAUUACUUUAAAAAAUGUAAAUCAGAUCAUAUCAUUCCCUGCUCUACAAGGUACAAUGCAAGCACCAUAUCCUACAUGAUUUCCAAGGAAACAUGAUCAACAUGAUGAAACAUGCUAUGUAAUCUAGCCCCUCCCUGUCUCUCUGACCUAAUUCCCUACUAUGAUCUCACUUCAAUGAGAUGUGCUCUAGUUUCACUGCGGGUGGGUGGCUUCUGGUAGAACAAAGAAUGGUGGAUGUGAAAGAUGACCAGGGUUCUUAGAGGCUACAUAAUGUGUAAGAAAUUCACCCAUAAUGAAAAAUUGUCCUGAAUGGCUUUCAAAUAUCCUGACUAAAUGAGCAAGAACACUCAGAGAAAACUACAAAAGAAGAAUGAAACACCAAAAAGGAAAACAGAGAGACAUAGCAAUCAAAUCAGUACAGUAUUGGGAUAGAAAAAGACCCUUGGAUCAGUGGGACAGACCAGACAAGCCAGAAAAAGAUUAUGAAAGUGCUGGUUCAAUUCAGAGUGGACUCAGCAGCAUUUAUUGAAAACCACUGAUGCUGGAAGCCAGAACAGCGGUCAUUCAUGGGAUGAAAACCUUUCCAGAGAAGCAAGUACUUCCCAAGCCACAGGCCUCCCGUCCAUGAUGUGUGAGGCAGCUGUGAAAGGCAGUAGGACCUUCUAGUUAUGAAGCAGGCAGCGGCACCACUGAGAUAAAUCUCUGGCCCUGGAUUUGUGUUUUAAGAGCUUGCCUUGCUCUUGCAUACAGAGGGCUGGAGGAACGUGCACAGGUGAAAGCAGAAAGACCCAUCAGGAUACUGUAAAGUGGUGUGAAGAAGAAAAAUAAGCACCUUGAGAUGAUCAUUUGCAGAAAAUGGGAAAGUGAGGAAUCCAGGGUGACUAGGUGUCUGAACAGAGCGCACGGGUGAAGAGGGAAGGCCUGGUAAAGAAAACACAGUCAUGUAAAUUUUGGCCAUGUUUGUGAUCCUUAAGCCUUCCAAGUUAAAUCAUCAAAUAAGACAAUUGGUUAUGUCUGGAGCAGAGACUAGAGCAGGGAUAGUGACAGAAAUCUCAGUCACAAGCUGAGGUAUUCACAGACACAGCACCUGCAAAUCAAGAGCAGCAGGAAAGAGGAAAGAGACACAGUUGGUUUAACCAUAGCUGGGGUUUUGACAGGGGAAUAAGGCAAAGAGUGAAAUGAGAGAAUUAUAUCUCUUCUAAGAAUGAUUACUUAUAGCUUUAGAUCACAGAUUAUGAACUGCAGAGAAGUAAAAUGGGC